rnacentral:snRNA from 1 species
GCCUGCUGCGGCAGAACAUAUGCUCAAAUGAAUAUGCAGAAGAUUAGCCUGGCUCCUGUACAAAGAUGAAACACAAACUCGCAAAGCGUUUCAUAUUUUG